rnacentral:rRNA from 1 species
AACGUAGGUGGCGAGCGUUAUCCGGAUUUACUGGGCGUAAAGGGUGUGCAGGCUGCCCCUCAAGUGGUGUAUGAAAGGGCUCGGCUCAACCGGGCUAGGUUAUGCCAGACUGAGGGGCUAGAGAGCGAGAGCGGGACGUGGAAUUCCGGGUGUAGUGGUGAAAUGCGUAGAGAUCCGGAGGAACCCCAGAGGCGAAGGCGGCGGCCUGGGUCGCAGCUGACGCUCAGACACGACAGCAUGGGGAGCGAACGGG